GCGGCUUGGGCUGUGAUGGAGAAAGAAACCAAUGAUAGCUGGAAGUGGUUUAUUGUUCUGUUAAUCAAAGACUUGGAUAUUAAUGACCAAGGAGCAGGUUGGGUUUUCAUUUCUGAUCAGCAGAAGGUAAUUCUUUACUUACUUACUUGCUUUAAUUGCUUUGCUUACUUGCUUUACUUAAAUGGAAAUCUUAUUUAG
rnacentral:rRNA from 1 species